rnacentral:rRNA from 1 species
AAUAGAUACCCGGGUAGUCCACGCCGUAAACGAUGAGUGCUAAGUGUUAGGGGGUUUCCGCCCCUUAGUGCUGCAGCUAACGCAUUAAGCACUCCGCCUGGGGAGUACGGUCGCAAGACUGAAACUCAAAGGAAUUGACGGGGGCCCGCACAAGCGGUGGAGCAUGUGGUUUAAUUCGAAGCAACGCGAAGAACCUUACCAGGUCUUGACAUCCCACUGACCGCUAUGGAGACAUAGCUUUCCCUUCGGGGACAGUGGUGACAGGUGGUGCAUGGUUGUCGUCAGCUCGUGUCGUGAGAUGUUGGGUUAAGUCCCGCAACGAGCGCAACCCUUGAUCUUAGUUGCCAUCAUUUAGUUGGGUCACUCUAAGGUGACUGCCGGUGACAAACCGGAGGAAGGUGGGGAUGACGUCAAAUCAUCAUGCCCCUUAUGACCUGGGCUACACACGUGCUACAAGUGGACGGUACAAACGGUUGCCAAACCCGCGAGGGGGAGCUAAUCCGAUAAAAACCCGUUCUCAGUUCGGAUUGUAGGCUGCAACUCGCCUAC